ensembl:misc_RNA 7SK 7SK RNA
GGAUGUGAGGGAAAUCUGGCUGUGACAUCUGUUACCCCACUGUUUGCCAGGAUUGAUUUGGCUGAUCUGACUAGCUAGGCGGGUGUCCCCUUCCUCCCUCACCACUCCAUGUGUGUCCCUCCCAAAGCAGCAUGCUCAGUCAAAGAGGACAGCCUUCCCCAAAUAGAGACAGGCCAGCCUUCCGUUGAGGGUACAUGAUUAGAUGUGCUCCCCUGCUAGAACCUCCAAACAAGCUCUCAAGAAUAGCAUCUGUGGAUAGUGCACUUCUUUACCAUGUGCAUGACAAGCUGGUCCCCACCACAUUGAAGGAAGCUUCA